GGACCACAUCGGAGUAUGCAGAUAGGUUCUAAACAGCAAUUCCACUCACAGCUACGAGAAGUGACGAAGACCAGCAGUUGUGACGAAGUAUCUUGAGUCGAACAUUAGGGUGGCUCACCACCACAUGUCCUCCACCAGAUUAUCCAGUUCCGUUUCGCUGCAAUCGACUGGUUUGUAAAUUUGGAAAACGGCGAUAAUACACGCGGUCAAAGCCACUUGCGCUACGAUUCUGAACUGGCCGGCCAUAUUUUAUUUGGUAUACUGAAUUCGUCACGCAGCAGACAUCAAACCACGCAGAUGUGCUGUUUUGAUGAAAAAACAUUAGACCAGACCGUUUGUUUACCCUUCAAAUUAAACUUGGUUUAUGUUUAGGUAGAGGAAAUGCUGUUUGCUGGGAAUUGUCUUAAAAUGCAAGUGGAACUGUAAUGUGCAAAUGCAGUUCACGUGCUCUGCAUUAAUGGUGUCGGUGUCAUUGAUUUUUAAAGUAUUCAGUAAGUCCAGCCAGAAUUCUGGCUGGUUCUAGUUAGCAUUCCGGCUUCAACGACGCAAGUGAUUCUAAUUAGAAUCGGUUGUGUCACUGCAGCUGAAAUACUAACAUUAACCAACCAGGAUUCCGGCAGAACUUGCUGAAAAGGUUUAGGUACAUUCAUAAAUAUCUUAAAUGACACAAGCGAUGUAUAUUUUGCCGUUCUUGCGUAAACAAAAAUUAUGUAAA